UAAGUGGCGGGACGUGUCUAUUUUGUAUGUACUAUGAAUAAGGAUCGGCUAACUCCGUGCCAGCAGCCGCGGUAAUACGGAGGAUCCGAGCGUUAUCCGGGAUUUAUUGGGUUNAAANGGUGCGUAGGCGGCNUUUUAAGUCAGCGGUGAAANUCUGUGGCCCAACCAUAGAANNCCGUUGAAACUGGGGGGCUUGAGUAUGUUUGAGGCAGGCGNNAUGCGUGGUGUAGCGGUGAAAUGCAUAGAUAUCACGCAGAACCCCGAUUGCGAAGGCAGCCUGCCAAGCCAUGACUGACGCUGAUGCACGAAAGCGUGGGGAUCAAACAGGAUUAGAUACCCUGGUAGUCCACGCAGUAAACGAUGAUCACUAGCUGUUUGCGAUACACUGUAAGCGGCACAGCGAAAGCGUUAAGUGAUCCACCUGGGGAGUACGCCGGCAACGGUGAAACUCAAAGGAAUUGACGGGGGCCCGCACAAGCGGAGGAACAUGUGGUUUAAUUCGAUGAUACGCGAGGAACCUUACCCGGGUUUGAACGCAUUCGGACCGAGGUGGAAACACCUUUUCUAGCAAUAGCCGUUUGCGAGGUGCUGCAUGGUUGUCGUCAGCUCGUGCCGUGAGGUGUCGGCUUAAGUGCCAUAACGAGCGCAACCCUUGCCACUAGUUACUAACAGGUAAAGCUGAGGACUCUGGUGGGACUGCCAGCGUAAGCUGCGAGGAAGGCGGGGAUGACGUCAAAUCAGCACGGCCCUUACAUCCGGGGCGACACACGUGUUACAAUGGCGUGGACAAAGGGAAGCCACCUGGCGACAGGGAGCGAAUCCCCAAACCACGUCUCAGUUCGGAUCGGAGUCUGCAACCCGACUCCGUGAAGCUGGAUUCGCUAGUAAUCGCGCAUCAGCCAUGGCGCGGUGAAUACGUUCCCGGGCCUUGUACACACCGCCCGUCAAGCCAUGGGAGCCGGGGGUACCUGAAGUCCGUAACCGCGAGGAUCGGCCUAGGGUAAAACUGGUGACUGGGGCU
rnacentral:rRNA from 1 species